ensembl:lncRNA
GGCCAGGGUCGGUCAGCUGUUGUUUCCUGGGUGGGUGUGUUUCUGGGUGGACCAGCGGAGGGGUCAACGGGGGCGAGAGGAUCCAGCUCCGUCACCCCUCCAGCAGCUGACACACCCCAGAUGGCAUCGCGGAGAUUAGCAGAGGCCCUGCUGAAGGGCGUGGGGAGGGGUUAAUCCCCAGGGGAUUCCUGGAGGAGCCCCGGAGGCCAGGGGCAACGGCAACCUGCCCUGCCAUGUCCACUGCCCAGGGUUGCUGGGAGACCAAAGGGAGUGGCGUCUGGCAGCGGAAUUUCUGAACCCCUGGCGUUUUCUGUGAGUGGAACACGAUGACCAUUGUUUCUGCCCUCGCGCCUGGCGUCGCUUUAGACCUUCCUGGCACACGCAGUGGACUUUGUUGCUUGGAACUUGUUCUCUUGGCCAACUCCUGUUUGUCUGGAAUCUAAACUGGAUGCUCACACAGGCUGGUUGCGAGUUGUCUGGGGUCGUGGGGCAAUGGAAGGGGCACACAGUGCAGGGCCAGAGCCAAGAUUUCUCUCUCCAGAUCCAGGAGCCCUGCGGCCUUGGGCAACCUCCCUGAUUUCCUAGGGCCUUUGUGAGGCAUCUGACAAAAGGGCUUAUUGUGCCUGCCCAGGCUGCCUCCUGGGUUCUCCUGGGGGUCAAGCUAGAUUAAAAGGGCCCACCGGAUGUUCAGGUGCUCUGUAAAUAUUGGGGGUCACCCCUGAGGAAAGGCUUUCUGACUUCAUUCCGUAGCACACAACCACCCACCAAGCCUGGGGUGGACUCAGAGGCAGGAUGAGAUCCUGAAAGGCUUCCCGGAUCUCCUGGGAAACUCUGUGCACAAGAGAAAGGCUACCCCUCUCACCAGCCAGGGGCACUGGUAGCCAUCACCUCUACAGCGAUGGAUGUCAUAUGAAGAUAUUGUGGGUCAGAGUGAAGAAAAGGAAAGGGGUGGACUUGGAGUCCCAGAAAAGGAAGAAGAAAAUGGCUUUCCACUCCAAGUCUAUCAGAACUAAACAGGAGACACAAAUGCCUCCAGACACUAAAACAGACAGACAGCUCCUUACUCUCACCUCCAAGAAGAAUCCAGAGGAGAGUAAAAGAGAAUCUGACCAUCAACUCUGGGUACUGAGUGCUUCCCACCCGCUAAGCACUCUGUCUGCCAAGAGCUGCCGUGAACAAAGCAGACGAGUCCUCCUGGAGCUUAUCUUCUGGUCAGGAGGAAUACAGCACAGCUAAGCCAAGUGCGGCUGACCCUCCUCCUCCUCAGAUUGCUUUAUUUGCAAGCUCACCUAUUUGUCAGAACCUAUUUGCAGUCCCAGGAUCAAUGCAUCUAGUACUUUCAGAGUCAUCCGGGGACAAGAACUGAGCAGUGAGAAUUCUGAGUAAGAUGAGCAUAUUCCCAGGAGAGGUGGACUCUUCUUGCUUCAGCUCGCAUAUGCUGAACAAGUGACCUUCUGGGGACUAUUUAAUGCCACUGUUUUUUUUCUUUUUUUUGUCAUUUGUAUUGGUGGUUUCCCUGUUUUAAAAUGGCCCCAAGUUCAGCAUUGAAGUUGUCUGUCUAGGAUUUGUAAGUGGAAUAAGGCUGGGAAGCGCCCCCACGAAGGAGAAAUUGAAAGUUACAUAAGCUUCCCUCAGGCAUGCAUGCUGUUGGCUGGGAAUUCAGUGUUAAUGAAUCAACAGAAUAUUUUAAGCAAGCUGUCUUUAAGCAGAAACAAGCAAAGAACACGGUUAAGAACUUGAUGAAAAUUUUGUGGCCAGAGGCUCAUAGAUGCCUAAGCCUAUGUUUCCCCAAUGGCUCAAUAUUUGCUCAUCCGUUGUUCAGGACGAAUCUAGAGAUGUGUUCUGUGUGCUAAGUCACUUCAGUUGUAUCCAGCGCUUUGCGACCCUAUGGACUGUAGCCCGCCAGGCUCCUCUGUCCAUGGGAUUGUCCAGGCAAGAAUACUGGAGCAGGUUGCCAUUCCCUUCUCCAGGGGAUCUUCCCAAUGCAGGAAUCAAACCCACGUCUCUUACGUCUCCUGCACUGGCCGGCAGGUUCUUUACCACUAGCGCCGCCUGGGAGGCCCUUACAGAACAUAACUGCCUUCAGUAAUGAGAAAGACUGGCGUUUCAUUUGUGAUGCGUAGCUUGAGGAAGAUCAAACAGGGCGAUGAUCAGCGUGAUUUAUGUGAUUGGAAGGCAAUGUGGAUCAAGGCAGUUUCUUCAGGAGGUGACACUGGAGCUGAGAUCUGCAGAGAAGCGGGCAGCCAGUUGGGAGAACCAAGCAUAGCGGUCUGAGGGCGGAAGCUGGGGUGCUCAGAUCCUGGCUGG